GACGAACGCUGGCGGCGUGCCUAAUACAUGCAAGUUGAGCGCUGAAGGUUGGUGCUUGUACCAACUGGAUGAGCAGCGAACGGGUGAGUAACGCGUGGGGAAUCCGCCUUUGAGCGGGGGACAACAUUUGGAAACGAAUGCUAAUACCGCAUAAAAACUUUAAACACAAGUUUUAAGUUUGAAAGAUGCAAUUGCAUCACUCAAAGAUGAUCCCGCGUUGUAUUAGCUAGUUGGUGAGGUAAAGGCUCACCAAGGCGAUGAUACAUAGCCGACCUGAGAGGGUGAUCGGCCACAUUGGGACUGAGACACGGCCCAAACUCCUACGGGAGGCAGCAGUAGGGAAUCUUCGGCAAUGGACGAAAGUCUGACCGAGCAACGCCGCGUGAGUGAAGAAGGUUUUCGGAUCGUAAAACUCUGUUGGUAGAGAAGAACGUUGGUGAGAGUGGAAAGCUCAUCAAGUGACGGUAACUACCCAGAAAGGGACGGCUAACUACGUG
rnacentral:rRNA from 1 species